rnacentral:lncRNA from 1 species
GGUCCCCAGGCCGUACCGGGCUGUACCGGGCUGUACCGGGCUGUACCGAGCAGUACCGGGCUGUACCGGGCUGUACCGGGCGGUACCGGGCGGUACCGUGCUGUACCGGGCUGUACCAAGCAGUACCGAGCAGUACCGAGCGGUACCGGGCAGUACCGAGCGGUACCGGGCAGUACCGGGCAGUACCGGGCUGUACCGAGCGGUACCGGGCAGUACCGGGCUGUACCGAGCAGUACUGAGCAGUACCGAGCGGUACCGAGCAGUACCGAGCAGUACCGGGCAGUACCGGGCGGUACCGAGCAGUACCGGGCAGUACCGGGCGGUACCGAGCAGUACCGAGCGGUACCGGGCGGUACCGGGCUGUACCGGGCGGUACCGGGCGGUACCGGAGCUCCCGGCCGCUCUCAUCAGCCCUGCAGGGGAAGGACCCUCAGCCCCCUGUGCCUCCCAGGCUCCGGGGAGAUCGCCCCGAGCCUCCCGCGGUGCCCACCCCGGGACAGGACGGGGACAGGACGAGCGCUGCUCCCCAUUGCCCGGAGCCAGCAGCGCUGCCGGCAUCCAGCAAAACCCACGCGGAAAUUCCCGGAGCGUUUUCCUGCGGGGCUGGAUGCUCCCCUCGGCCCCCCGAGCUGCUCCUCGGCCCAUGGCAGCAGCUGCCGGUACCCGGUGCCAGGCGGGCUCCGUGCCCCGAGCAGGUCCCAGUGCCCAGAGGGGCAUCGGGAAUUGUUUUCCACGGGCUCCAGCUGCUGUUCGGCAGCGCCCAGAGACGCUUCGAGCAGCCUCGCUCCUCCCGAGCCUCGGCCCAACAAUCGCUCCUUUGUCCGCGGCAUCCGCACGUCUUUAUUCCCUCUGUCAGCUCUCCAGGCAGGACACGGUCUCCUAGGCCACGGCCACACGUUCUCUGUGCAAACAGCUGCUGCUGCUCCGGGGAAUAUCCAUCCCGCUUCCCUGCUCGCCUCCCAGCCCCGCACACGGCACGGGAGCUGCCUUGGAUGGAUCGGAUCCUGCCCGAUGGGAAUUUGGGGUACGGGGGGAACGUGGAGCAGCAGGGAGUGCACAGGGCCCUGGCACCCCAAAGCUCCGGCCGCUGGUGCAGAGCGUUCCUGGGUCACAGCUCCCGACAAAAACCACACUGUGAACAAUUCCAGCAGCACCACAGCCAGCCCCAGGGUCAGCUGGGAGCAGCUGGGAAUGGGAAUAAACAGCCUCGGCAGGAUCCAGAGCCGCCUGUGCACAGCUGCAGCGUGGGGCUGUGUGUGUGUGUGCACGUACCCCGGGGCACGGCCGGGCUGGGGGCUCGCUCUGCUGCCCAGGGAAGCGUUGGCAGUGCCAGGCAGUGCCCCGAGGGAUGGCUCUGCCCGGUGA